AAGCGAUCCUCCCAACUCGGCCUCCAAAAGUUUACAGGCGUGAGCCACGGUGCCCAGCCUCCUGUGCCUUUUAAUUCACUGAUGCAAUUGUUGAUCCAGCCCUGUCAGCCCCGAGGGUAGGGUCUGAGGUUGCUGCUGUAUCCCUGGCACUCAGUGGAGGCUUGGCCCAAAGAAAGAGGUUUUUUUGUUUUUUUUUUUUUUUCCCAAGACGGGAGUCUCACUCUGUCACCCAGGCUGGAGUGCAGUGGCAUGAUCUCAGCUCACUGCAACCUCUGCCUCCUGGGUUCAAGCGAUUCUUCUGCCUCAGCCUACCGAGUAGCUGGGAUUACAGGCACGUGUCAACACGCCCAGCUAAUUUUUGUAUUUUUAGUAGAGAUGGGUUUUCACCAUGUUGGCUAGGUUGGUCUCAAACUCCUGACCUCAGGUGAUCCACCCACCUCAGCCUCCGAAAGUGCCUGGAUUACAGGCGUAAGCCACUGCGCUCGGCCCAAAUUUUCUCCCCAGGAAUCUGGAACGAUGAAGGUGAUGAUUGUGCCUGUGGCCAAGACCGGGAGAACCCUGGAUCCCUACACCUUCCCCACCCCUGGAAUGUCACUAUACAUAUCUGACUUCUUCUGAUGUUGCCUUUGACCCUAAAGUCAAUAUGAUAAAGUAACAAGAAGCUGGGACAGAGGAACAAACACAGCCCACUCAAGCAGUGGUGGCAACAUUCUGUUAGAAAGGAGGGGAGUCAAAGAAAAAAACACCCCUCCGCCCAUCUCCUUAUCACCUCCCUAAA
rnacentral:lncRNA from 1 species